GCUCAACCGAGGAAGUGCUUCGAAAACUGGUAAACUUGAGUGCAGAAGAGGAAAGUGGAACUCCAUGUGUAGCGGUGGAAUGCGUAGAUAUAUGGAAGAACACCAGUGGCGAAGGCGGCUUUCUGGUCUGUAACUGACGCUGAGAUUCGAAAGCAUGGGUAGCAAACAGGAUUAGAUACCCUGGUAGUCCAUGCCGUAAACGAUGAGUGCUAAGUGUUGGAGGGUUUCCGCCCUUCAGUGCUGCAGCUAACGCAUUAAGCACUCCGCCUGGGGAGUACGACCGCAAGGUUGAAACUCAAAGGAAUUGACGGGGGCCCGCACAAGCGGUGGAGCAUGUGGUUUAAUUCGAAGCAACGCGAAGAACCUUACCAGGUCUUGACAUACCAUGAAAAGCUUAGAGAUAAGUCUUUCCCUUCGGGGACAUGGAUACAGGUGGUGCAUGGUUGUCGUCAGCUCGUGUCGUGAGAUGUUAGGUUAAGUCCCGCAACGAGCGCAACCCUUAUUAUCAGUUGCCAGCAUUCAGUUGGGCACUCUGGUGAGACUGCCGGUGACAAACCGGAGGAAGGUGGGGACGACGUCAAAUCAUCAUGCCCCUUAUGACCUGGGCUACACACGUGCUACAAUGGUCGGUACAACG
rnacentral:rRNA from 1 species